rnacentral:rRNA from 1 species
CCUACGGGUGGCUGCAGUGAGGAAUAUUGGUCAAUGGGCGUAAGCCUGAACCAGCCAAGUCGCGUGAGGGAUGAAGGUUCUAUGGAUCGUAAACCUCUUUUGUAAGGGAGUAAAGUGCGGUACGUGUCCUCUUUUGUAUGUACCUUAUGAAUAAGGAUCGGCUAACUCCGUGCCAGCAGCCGCGGUAAUACGGAGGAUCCGAGCGUUAUCCGGAUUUAUUGGGUUUAAAGGGUGCGUAGGCGGCUGUUUAAGUCAGCGGUGAAAGUUUGGGGCUCAACCAUAGAAUUGCCGUUGAAACUGGGGGGCUUGAGUAUGUUUGAGGUAGGCGGAAUGCGUGGUGUAGCGGUGAAAUGCUUAGAGAUCACGCAGAACCCCGAUUGCGAAGGCAGCCUGCCAAGCUAUGACUGACGCUGAUGCACGAAAGCGUGGGGAUCAAACAGGAUUAGAUACCCGAGUAGUC